UACAGAGGUCUCAAGCGUUGUUCGGAUUCAUUGGGCGUAAAGAGCUCGUAGGCGGCUCAGUAAGUCGGGUGUGAAACCUCCAGGCUCAACCUGGAGACGCCACCCGAUACUGCUGUGGCUAGAGUCCAGUAGGGGAGUGUGGAAUUCCCGGUGUAGCGGUGAAAUGCGCAGAUAUCAGGAGGAACACCGGUGGCGAAGGCGGGUCUCUGGGCAGUAACUGACGCUGAGGAGCGAAAGCGUGGGGAGCGAACAGG
rnacentral:rRNA from 1 species